rnacentral:rRNA from 1 species
GACAGAGGUCCCGAGCGUUAGGCGGAAUCACUGGGCUUAAAGCGUGUGUAGGCGGAUUUGUAAGUACCUUGUGAAAUCCCACGGCUCAACCGUGGAACUGCUUGGUAUACUGCUUAUCUUGAGCCACCUAGGGGCAACCGGAACAAGCGGUGGAGCGGUGAAAUGCGUAGAUAUCGCUUGGAACGCCGAAGGUGAAAACAGGCUGCUGGGGUUGUGCCGACGCUGAGACACGAAAGCCAGGGGAGCAAACGGG